rnacentral:rRNA from 1 species
GUGCCAGCAGCCGCGGUAAUACGUAGGUGGCAAGCGUUGUCCGGAUUUACUGGGCGUAAAGGGAGCGUAGGUGGAUAUUUAAGUGGGAUGUGAAAUACUCGGGCUCAACUUGAGUGCUGCAUUCCAAACUGGAUAUCUAGAGUGCAGGAGAGGAAAGUAGAAUUCCUAGUGUAGCGGUGAAAUGCGUAGAGAUUAGGAAGAAUACCAGCGGCGAAGGCGCCUUUCGGGACUGAAACUGACACUGAGGCUCGAA